CUAUAGUUAGCUGUCCUAUUUAGUCGUCAGAGAGCCAACCAUUUCCUCGAAGUGUUAGCUAGUGACGAGCUAGCCUGCUAGCCGACGACAUUAGCGUGCGCGUUUAGCUCACGCUAUCCUUCAAUUUCGGGAACAAACAAAAACAAAACAUGAAGGCACGACUCACUCGGAUGGUAGCAAAUGUAUGAAAUGAACGGUGCUGACCUCUGAGCGCCUCUUGAAGCGAGUCAAUUUCCAUCACGCCGUCGCCCUCUUGUCAGUCCAGUGGCGGUGAUAGGCAGACUGGCGGCUAGCUGCUAAUGCUAAAGCUAAUGCUAAUGCUAAGCUACCAGCUAGCAGGCAGAGGAGGAAGGAGCAUGUUAAUAUGGCGCCCACACUCACUGCCUGGGAACCACAGACGGCGAACAAGAAGGAGCAAGAGAAGUCCGCAUGGAGCUGGAGGGGGCGUGGCCUCCAGCUCCGGCUGAAAAUCGGGAGAUUUCCGGGAGAAUAUUUGUCCCGGGAGGUUUUCGGGAGAGGCGCUGAAUUUCGGGAGUCUCCCGGAAAAUUCGGGAGGGUUGGCAAGAAAACUUGGGGAAUCCGACCACACAGGGUGUUGACCGUGUCCAAGAAGUUGGUCUGCAUGGGAUAGAACAGCGACUGGAACAUGUUGUCCUCAAAAGGGAACUGGAGCAGUAACAAAAAAACAUGACGGUAAGGAUCUCUUUCUCUUGCACUUCCGCACGGCUGCUCUAACUCUACAAUCAACACACCUGACGCUGAUGAGAUCCCUGCCUUCAUAGGCCAGCGCGUCCUGCGUUCCAGUGCCAGAACGUAGCGACUUGUACCAGUAAACCCUUCGUCAUCCCCUGGUUUCGAGCUGUGUGUCUCGUCUCCCAGGAUCCCCUCUGGGCUUCCUGCUACCUUCUCGGAUCUCGACCUCACGCCUGCCCCCGGACAACGACGCCUCGUUCCAGCCCCUGACCACCUUCCUGUCCCCGGACCUCCGAGCCUGCCUUGCCCUUUCUGAACUUCCGCACCGAUCUCAACACGUACCUUCAACACCACCCGGUCCGCAUGGAGAUGGAGGGGGCGUGGCUUCCAGCUCCGGCUGAAAAUCGGGAGAUUUUCGGGAGAAUAUUUGGUUUUCGGGAGAGGCGCUGAAUUUCGGGAGUCUCCCGGAAAAUUCGGGAGGGUUGGCAAGUAUGAGUUAAGUCCUUGUUCAGAAAAGGUGUAUCACUCUUUAAAAUGGUCAUUAUAUAUUUGAUCUAUUCUUGUCGUGUAAAAGGCUCUUUCUUGUUAUUAGAAUCCGAUUGUGGUCUGACAAACCAGAUGGAAAAUUGUUAUGUGAAUAAUGAUCUUAUUGACUCAAUCGCAGCAAGAGAAAACCACUUAUAGAUUUGUCUGUCCUGCAAUAUACCUGUUAUUACAGGGUGUUGUUAUUUCAUUAAACACCAGCUGACAGACAAAAUCAAUACGCGGCACAGCUUCGCACUUGAUUAAAUGACUGGAUUUAGUCCCAGGAGAAGGUCCACUUGUUAAGUUAAUGUUGCGGACUCGGUGUGAAAUCAUCAAUAAUCAUAUGGAGCACGGGGGAUAAACUAUAAGGCAGGGGGGAAAAAAGCUGUUUUUAUAAUAGAGUUGUUAUAAUUUUAAUCACAUUAUGCAGAUGAAAUAAGAAAUGCUGCAGCCUUACAAGGAAGAAGAGUCUCUGAGCUGCACACGGUAGGAAGAAGUCAUUCCACUGGUCAGGGUUCCCGACUGGGAAGGUGAUGGUGUAUAAGUUGUACUGAAACUUGGUUGUGAUAAAGCGAGGUCACCGGCUCAGCUGGAAGAGACCUUCUUUAAAUUAUACAUUUAA